rnacentral:rRNA from 1 species
UAUUAUUAUUAUAAUAAUCAUUGGGCUAUCAAUAGAAUGAUAUUGAAGWUCAACAAUUACAAACAAUACAAUUUUUAAUGAUUGUAUAUAUUGUAUUGUGAGCAUAUUAUAUCUGGUAUAGCUGUCUGAUGGAUUUUAAUGGUUAUAACAUUGAUAUAAUUAUUUAUAUCACCCGUUAUUUAUUUAAUUGGGAAUAAGUUAUAUACCUGAUCAACAACGGUUUCAUUUGGGAUACCUUUGGGACCCGUCUUGAAACACGGACCAAGGAGUCUAUCUAGUAUGCAAGUAAAUGGGAAUAUUAAACCUAUUUGCAUAAAUAACUUAACUAUUAUUUUAUGGGAUUACAAAUAUAUAUUUUUAUAAAUAUAUACUUUUCCAUCCCGGGGUAUUUUCAUAAUAUAUAUAAAUUUUAUUUGUAUAUAGAAAAUAUACCAUGAGCAUACUGGAUAUGACCCGAAAGAUGGUGAACUAUGCUUGAUCAGGUUGAAGUCAGGGGAAACCCUGAUGGAGGACCGAAGCAAUUCUGACGUGCAAAUCG